ensembl:lncRNA
GGAGCCGGCAGCCAAUGAGAACCCCACAGCUCGUGUCCCAGCCCGGCUGCCUGCUGCCCCGCGUUCCCAUCCCUCAGGCCUGGUUGGCACACGGGAUGUGGGGCUGCGGUGCACGCUGACAGCCGCCCGCUGUUCCGCAGCCCUGGGAAACCAAGACUAACAGCACUUGGGGGAUGUGUUUAUGUCACAAGUGCUCUGAAAUAGCACAAUUACACAUUGUUGUUUUUUUCCCGCAUUAUGAGUAUUAACUGCCAACACCCACAGAAAUCUGGUGUAAUUAACUUCGUUCCUUAAGCGAGACCCUUCCCAUUGUCUGGGGGUACUUCUUACUGCGACCUGCUCCCCUCGGGCAGUCUCAGCACUGAGCCAUCCAGUCGCCGUGCAUGGUGGCACAGGCACUGAGGAGCUGUGCAGCAGUGAGAGUGCAGCUCCUCAUCUGAGCGACUGCAGCAUCGGUUGGAGGCGCAGGGCAGGGAGAGCAGACCCAUCCAAUCGCUAAUUGCAAACAGUGCUGGUGUAGAGAACGGUGUUUGUAAUUAUGAACAUAGCUAUUAAAAUAUCAUUUUGCUUUUUAGGCCGCCUGAUUCUAGCAUGGGGUAUGAAGGAGCUAUAUUUGAAGAAGUUUAUUAUUUCCAAUGCUUCGGAAAAAAAGGAAGUCUAAGCUGGAAAUGAAGCUCCUUUAUCACUUUUAAAGGCUGGUUUGCACUGAUUCUGCUCUGCCCCAGCACUGAGUGCAGCCCCAGCCCUCCCCAGGGAUGGAUGCUGCCCACACUGGCAGCUUGAGUGGGGGACAGAGGAAGGCCGUUGGGGUUUGUCUUUUUGCAGGUCGAACUGAAUGGGGUCUGCUUCUUCAGUAUGAAAACCAUGGAUUAAAACUGAAGUGAAAAUGGAUCGCUGUGUAUGUUACUAGUGGGUAAAAAGAAGUUGGGUUGUUUUUUUGUUUGUUUUUUUGGAUGGCAGAACUUUAAUUAUAAGAAGUACUGUAAAAAAUCUAGAUGGCAUAUUUACUCAUUUGGUCCGUACAACAGCCAGCAAAAUCAGCCCAUAUUGAUGGGAUACGCAGGAAGAAAUGUAUUAGUUUGCAGAGCACAGCAUUCCAGUGCAAGAUAGCAUUGAAAAAAACAAGUCAAUUCUUCCAUUAGUCAAAUUCCUGUUAAAUUAUCCAUACUUCCCAGUGAGCAAGUCCAUGGACCAGGUUCCUAUCAAUGUAUUGAUGGUGAAGGCUGGAUAUGCUGGUAUCUAAAAAACACCCACAGAAUGAAACCUGCCCCCAUCAUACAGCAUCGUUCCAGGGAUGGGGAAUGCCACAGAGCUCUGCAACCAGCAGACAAAAGUGUGGAUUUUGGAGGGGAGUGAUGCAGGAUGCAGAAUGGUGCAAAGGGAAGAGGCACAGGGAGUGACUGUGGAUGGGAGGAGAGCGUUUCUGUUGAGACCUUGUCAGUGUUUGGCAUAUGCAGGUCUGCCCUCCUCUGUUACCCGUGCACCCAUCAGCUCCUGGGAGUCACUUUGAUGAAGGAAUCAGAGGAAAAUUGGAAAAUACCUUCAGCUUGAGGCCUGAGUCAAGUGCUGUUAUUAAUAGCGUGUUUAAUUACGAGUGGCAUCUAAAUCAGGUGAGUCUGGGAAGGUAAGAUGAAGGGGGAAAAUUGCCGUAAGAGCCUCUGAUUAGCGAGUAAAACACAAUUAGCUGUUCUCAAAGAGCAGCAAAGCCCACACCUGAUGACCACCACCUGCAGCCCGGGCUGUGUGUCCUGCAGGUCUCCAUCCUCGUGGAGGUCCCAUAGCGGUGUGCAUGAGGUGUGGCAGCUUUUUGGGUGCCCUGGUGCAGGGCUGGGUGUCCCUGGGGCAGCUCCUUCCCUUUGCUGCAGGGAGGCACAGCAGCCAAACCUGGGCUGUGUGUUGGGUUAGAACAGCUGCAGUGCACACGCUCCAAGCUCUUGAGCAGAGUUGGUCUGUGCACCAAAUCCUUCCUAAGCCUCUUUCUUAGCAGGUGCCUGAAUUUCAGAGGUAUAAGGUGAGAUGCUGUGGGUCGGGAUCUCACUUCUUUCAGAUACUGGUAUUAUUACUACUUUAUCUAAUUGGAGCUCUGAAGUGAAAAAUACUCCUUCUUCUCUGACUUCGAGGUCUCAAUGAACAAUUUUUUCUGUUACAGUUCUCUGUUUCUGUGUAAUUUUAGCAUCAUACCAGGACAGGGAGCGUAACUUCAGGGAGCUGCUUUGACACACACUGCUCUGCCAUGGGGUUAACAGCAGACCCAGUGUACCAUAUCCCUGAUGGCAGCGUGCUCACUUGGCAGCAGCAAUCAGCUCCAUCCCAGCAGCUCCCAGCUAUCCCUGCUCCUCACAUCCACCGCCAAUGAGACUUCUGCUUUGCUCAGUGCAAUCAACAACUCCUUGUCUGUCAGUGGAUGAUGCUUUUCUGCAGUUAUUUCUAGGGUCCCGUGCUGCACGGUGGCUGCCUGGCAGUGGGAGUGGGAGAGCAGACAGAGAGGUGUGGGACAGAGACCCACAGUCAGCUGAACAUCCUUUUCUGCCCAUGCAGGAAUCAAAGCUUUUAGUGUUAUUCAAAGUCAGCAUCACACACAGAAGAAAUAGUUGGCUGCUGCAAUCAGCAGUGAUGAACAAUCAUUAUGAGGUGCAAAAGGAGCAUUGUUAAUAGGAGGCUACAUCUCCAGGCAUAAGCUGAAGAACAGGAGGAAAAGCAAAGCAAGAGAUUCCCAUGUUGAGACCAUGGAGCGCAGGAAGCUGCAGUGCUGUGCAGCCAUCUGAACUCAGAGUGAUGUUUGACCUCAGAUGAUGAACAGCAGCUUUGCCUUCUUGCUGUGCAAUGCCAGAUCACCAGAAAAGACCUUAGCUAAUACUUGUAAUGAUAUCGUGGCUCAGAUUGGGUGUACGAGCAUGUUGUAUGCUGCUUAACAGCAGAAGGUGAUGGGAUUCGAUGGAGAUACAUGUCUGUAUUUCCUAACCUUCAGCAGGAACAGCAAAGAACUCUUGUUCCAAGAAGGAAUUCAGAAUAUCUCCUCCGCGUUCUACCUCUGCAUGCUGAGACAGAGUGAGAACUGCAGUCAUGGAGUGAGAAGACUCACAGAAGAGGUCAGUGCUUACCAUAACAACAGCGGUGCACUUUUGCAGGGCUGUGGUAUUUUCCAGGGUGUUGUAGUUGGGCAUUCCCUGCACAAAGCAUGAAGGACCGUGCCAUGCUGACAUGCUGACAAGGCAGCCUCUGUCCCGGUCUCACAGGCAGCACUGUGAGCUGGAGUUGCCUUUAGCCGUCAGAUACAUCAGCUUGAUAAUCUGUGCAAAGGUGUGUGGUUGGUACACCCCAUCUGUCUGAGUUCUACAACAAGUCCCUGUUUGCAUCAAAUUCUGGACUGCUCGCGUCCCUCUCUGACUACACUGGAGAACAGCUGAGGUCCCUCUCACUGAACGCUGCUUCCCAAGGGCUGAAUUCGGAUGAGAAAACCACUGUAACAUUGGGUAAUUAAUUUGUCGGCCAAAUAAUUUCUGCAGGGCUAUCACUUACUUCUCUGUCUGCAACCCCAAUGAAUCUCCCAGCUCGCAGCUUUAAUCCCAUUUUCUGCCUUUUAAUCUCAUUUUUUCACUCUAAUUUUCAUAGCUCCUACUAUUCAGUGGGAAUAACCAGAGCCAGGUGAGCACGGAUUCUGUGGCACAUAUUGAAUGCCUGGAGACCAACAACAGAGCUCCUGGAAUGGAAUUCCUCCAUUCCAGGUGGUCCACUGCAACAAAUAAUGGACUCAACAAAAAGAACAGUUAUAAGAAUAAAGGAGAAAGAGUGAUUUGUAUUUGGAGGAAUUACGAGUGUGACUUCAUUCAGAACCAGCCCAGCACACGUGCAGAACUCCCUAAGUGCAGUUCAGAGCAUUGCGUCCUCUGAUCAGGUAGGAACUAAUUUGCUAAGUGCAAAAGUUGGAAAAUUUUGUAGCUGUUUAACAGCAAAUCACAGAUCUGUCCUCAUUUAUUUUUCCUGACACAUUUAUUAUUGAAAGAUGGUUUGGUGAGUGCCGUAAGUAAGCAGGCGGUGUUGUUCCUGAGCCCUGAGAUUUGUCACUUCGGCUACAUCUUUCUGAUCUGUGACGGAGUGUUUUCUGCUGGAGAACAGGAAUGCUAAAUAAGGCAUCAAUAAUGCAAGAGAUCCGUGAAUAAUCACCCGAGUGCUUGAAAACGAGUGGACAGUGUGAUCAUAUGGUAGAAGAAAAAUAACGUUAGCUGCAUAUUUAUCAACGCCUGGUGCCAUUAGCACAGGGUCUGGCAAUAGCUCAAGGCUUCUAGGAGACAGUGCACACAGUGCUUUGGUGCCCAAUGCUACAGGAGGAGGGCACAUCCCCAGAGCAGGGAGCUUGUUUGGGCCCGGCCAGUCUGUGGCUGGAUGGGGUAAUGGAUGGGGAUGGCAGACAGCACCCUUCGUGUGUUUGUCCUAUGCUGCUGCAUUUUAGCCCCGUCUCUCACUGCACCAACGUGUCUAUCUUAAAAAGGACUUCUGAGUGCAAACAUUUGAUCCUGGGAGCAAGCAGAGUCAUUGGAAACUGUACCAGAAAGAACUGCCCCUGUCCCGCAGCUGUGUUGGAGUCACUCUCGGACAGCCUGCACUUCUGGUAGCUUUGGAACUGAGCUCUUUUGGGGCUGAAUGAGAGGGGCCCAACAGCUCCAUCAGGAGAAAAAUGGCUGCGGGAAGUACAGAGUGCGUGUCAACGUGUGUCUAACGAGAGCUGAUGGGAAAUGCAGGACCGUGAACAGAUGCAAUGGAAUGGCAUCCUGUGGGAGGAGGCAGGUCCAGCCGCACACGGCACUGCCACGGGGUACAGGAACGAGUUAAUGCCACUGGGGGACGGCUGAGAACAGCGACAUUGUUGUUCCCUGAUGUCAGCCCAGAAACCCAAACACAAAGAGGUGAAUGUAGUGCUAUGAGAGGGCCCUUGAGAGAGCUGAAUGCUGGGCCUGUGCCGGGGCACCCAGCAGAAUUAGAAACGGCAGGGGAUGACCAAGUGUUUCCUGGAAGCAGGGGCUGCAGGCAGCUGUCGGCAGGCAGGGCUGUGUGCGUGGGGCACUGCUGGCUGCAGUGGUACAAGCAGGCAGUGUCGGUAGGCUUGAGGAGAUCCACGUCCACGAGGGACUCCUGUUUUACUUUAUAGCUCAGCGUAAGGCGUCUCGUUUCCUCCUGUAGGAUGCACAUGUCGAGCCCUUCUGCAUAAUUCAGUGUUGCAUUUGGUGGGUGGUGCUCUGGGGGAUAUUUAGAUGGAGCGACAGUAGAGACAUUGCUUCGCUUCUGUACAAACUGCACAUCAGAUCUUCUACGUGUAACGUGGGGAAAAAAAGACAGAGAUCUGCUGGAAGGAGUCCGGUGGAGGGCCACAACGAUGAUAGAAGGCCUGGAGCAUCUUCCCUGUGAGGAAAGGCUGAGAGACCCCAGGUUCAGCCCGGGGAAAAGGAGGCCGAGAUGGGAUCUGUUUAUGUUUAUGAACAUGAAGGGAGGCGGGAGCCAAAAGGAUGAGGCCAGGCUCUUCUUGGUGGUGCGCAGCAAUAGGACGAGAAGCAACGGCCUAACACUUGUUGUAGGAAGUUUCAAGCUAACAUGUGGAAGAACUUUAUGUAAGGGUGAGGGAGCACCCUGCAGAUCUGUACGGAAAGUCUGAGACUAAACGCUGACAGAGACGUAUGCACCAACACACGGCACCACUGCAGGCAGCAUGACGGGGAGCCGGAACCCCGAGGGCAGCACCCGUCGGGGGGCCUCCACGGGGCACCAGCGGCAGGAGAGCGGCCGGCCCACAGGCCGAGAGCACGGAGCGGAGCGGCGGGGGACGGCGGGAAGCCCGGGGACAACGCCGGGCGGGGCCGCCGAGGCGCCGAGCUGCCCGCAGAGCGCUCCACCCAGCCGGGCUCGGCCCGGCCCCGCGCGGCGGCCCGCCCUCUCAUAGCGCCCCGCGAAAACCUUCCCACAGCCGGGGAUGUAGCUCAGUGGUAGAGCGCGCGCUUCGCAUGUGUGAGGUCCCGGGUUCAAUCCCCGGCAUCUCCAGCGGCUUCUUUUUUGCGUCGCACGCCAUUUUCUCCCCUCUCUCCAGCUGCGGGAGGCUCCCGUUGCCGCGAAUCGCGCGGCCGUUGUCCCGCCGCACCGCUGUGCGCCUGAGGCGAGUCCUCGGGGAGGCCGGGAAAGCAACGCGGCGCUGCGGCUUCUCCGGCCUUAAAAAGAGCACUGCUUUUUGCCGAAAGGAAAUACAAACGAGUAAAUCAAUCAAGGCUUUAAAGGGAAGGAAAAAAUUUCGGUUGCAUUGGCCGGGAAUCGAACCCGGGCCUCCCGCGUGGCAGGCGAGAAUUCUACCACUGAACCACCAAUGCACGACUUGCUAUGUUAUAUGGAUGGUCUGUCCUACAAUAUAUCAAACAUUGGGUUUCUGCUGUGCUUUUCUUCUCCCUUCCCUCUUCCCAGCUCUGUGCCCAUGAGCAGUACCUCCAGCCGUUAUCUCCAGGAGAAAAUGUUUUUAGAAAGUCGGCAAUAUUUGUAUACAUUUUUUCCUCCAACAGAUUAAAAACCCUGUAACUUUCCAUAAUAAAGUCAUCGUCCCUUGAAUUUAACAGCAUUCAGGCUAAGUAACAGCGGGUUUAUCCUUGUAUCCAGUGCUGGGAGGGCACUGCCAGAGGAGGCCACCAGCAGAGACCACAGCUCUGCUCAGCACAGCCCUGCUCUGAGGGAUGCAGCCCACAGACACUGAUACACAAUGGAACACAGUGCAGUGAUGGGUAAUGGUGUAAGAGGGCCUGGACAGUGACGUAACAACGUCACCACUGCAGCAGUGCGGUGCAGUGCCAUCACAACUCCUUGUUCCCCCAGACCUCAACUUCUCCUUUUACGCUCGCAGAAAGUAACAGAGUAAAAGCAUCAGGUAGUAACCCUUACUUAGGCUAUGCUUACAACAUCUCCAGUCAGCCCUGGAACACUUUCUCUAGAACAAAAGAAGUUAGAGGUGGAAAAUGCUCAUAUUGAGAAGAGUUUAACUUCCUGUUUUACUCUAUGUGGAGGAAGAUUUUACAGAUGAUCAACAAAGUGUUACCAAUCCUGUGCCAUUUCCAGAGUGAAAGUGAAACCAGCCCUUAUACUUGCAGUUUGCAGCUAAGAGAAUCCUUUCCCACAUGCAUCAGACAGCGCUCUGCAUCCGCUCAGAACAUCCAUGUAUGCUGGCUGAAGGGUUACAGACAGCAUGGUGAAGGAGGGGGAGUUGGACCCACUGCAGCUGGAGCACUGCUGCAGAACGUGCUUCAGAAGCACUUGUUCAAGCAGUGUGACAGGCUCAUACCUAACUUCUAACUCUAGGGAUGUCUAAGACAUCCUAACUUUACGAUGACUACACGUGGGAGAGUGCUGAAUGGAGAGAAUCAAGACCUGUAACAUUAGAAAAUGAUUAGAAAAUCAUUCCCUUCAGCUGGUUCAAAAAUCUUUCUAGAAGCCAAAGGGAUGCCAUAGACCUUCAGCAGAAACAGAGAAGGAAAAACAUGUUAUAGGGAGAGAGGAUUUUCUUAGGUCUUUUUAUCCAUCAAAAAGAGCCAAAUGCACUUCCUUCCAUUCCAGGUCACCUUUAAAGGGGCUCUGAUCUUGCUGCUUGUGGCUAAGGCUUGACACAGUGCCUUCCUAGUGGCUCUGCUGCUGCAGGGUGGGAGUGACAUGCUCUGGGCACUGGUGCUGCCCCUGCUGUGUGCCUCUGAGGAGGGUGCUGUAGCUCAGAGGCACUGAGAGCAUCUCAAGUGCAGGUGGUACAGGUGGAUUUGGAACAAGGUAAGGAGUUUCAGACAGGAAGUGCUAAAACUGCUCAAAUCACUCUUAAAACUGGAGGUGUGAGUUACCUGGAGUGUGGUAAGCGGACAUCAUUCAUUCCCUCUUUCCUGCUAGGUAUGGCCACACAUGCUCCUGCCAUGUGAUGCCCGUGUGGCGGUGCACCACUCACAGUUACAUUGGGGUUGCAUCCAUCUCUGUA